GGGGAAUCUUGCACAAUGGGGGAAACCCUGAUGCAGCGACGCCGCGUGAGUGAUGAAGUCCUUCGGGAUGUAAAGCUCUUUCGACAGGAACGAUAAUGACGGUACCUGGAGAAGAAGCUGCGGCUAACUACGUGCCAGCAGCCGCGGUAAUACGUAGGCAGCAAGCGUUGUUCGGAAUUAUUGGGCGUAAAGAGUAUGUAGGCGGUUCGCUAAGUCUGAUGUGAAAUCUCCUGGCUUAACUGGGAGGGUGCGUCGGAAACUGGCGGGCUCGAGUGCGGGAGAGGGGAGCGGAAUUCCUGGUGUAGCGGUGAAAUGCGUAGAUAUCAGGAGGAACACCGGUGGUGUAGACGGCUCCCUGGACCGUAACUGACGCUGAGAUACGAAAGCGUGGGUAGCAAAC
rnacentral:rRNA from 1 species